AGAACUAUGUCUGGGAGUGGCACACUGCUCAGUAACACGUAGCUAACCUACCCUUAGGACGUGGAUACCCCCGAGAAAUUGGGGUUAAUCCGCGAUAGAUGUAAUGUCCUGGAAUGGUAUUACGUCUAAAGGUAUUUCAUACAUGUUUGAAAUAUGCCUAAGGAUGGGGCUGCGGCCGAUCAGGCUGUUGGUGAGGUAAUGGCUCACCAAACCUUUGACCGGUACGGGCCAUGAGAGUGGUAGCCCGGAGAUGGACACUGAGACAAGGGUCCAGGCCCUAAGGGGCGCAGCAACCGCGAAACCUCCACAAUGCACUCACGUGCGAUGGGGCUAUCUCGAGUGCCACCUGAUGAAGGUGGCUUUUCCUUGGUCUUCAAAGCCUUGGGAAUAAGAGGGGGGCAAGACUGGUGUCAGCCGCCGCGGUAACACCAGCCCCUCGAGUGGUGGGGAUGAUUAUUUGGCCUAAAGCGUCCGUAGCCGGCCGUGAAAGUCUUCCGUUAAAUCCAGCGUCUCAAGCGUUGGACCGCGGGAGAUACUACAUGGCUAGAGAGUGGGAGAGGUCAGCGGUAUUCUGGGGGUAGGGGCGAAAUCCUUUGAUCCCCGGAGGACCACCAGUGGCGAAGGCUGCUGACUAGAACACGUCUGACGGUCAGGGACGAAAGCUGGGGUAGCGAACCGGAUUAGAUACCCGGGUAGUCCCAGCCGUAAACGAUGCAUGCUAGGUGUUGGGUUGGCCACGAGCCACCCCAGUGCCGCAGGGAAGCCGUUAAGCAUGCCGCCUGGGAAGUACGAUCGCAAGAUUGAAACUUAAAGGAAUUGGCGGGGGAGCACCACCAGGCGUGAAGCCUGCGGUUUAAUUGGAUUCAACGCCGG
rnacentral:rRNA from 1 species